rnacentral:rRNA from 1 species
UGACGGUACUUUACCAGAAAGCACCGGCUAACUACGUGCCAGCAGCCGCGGUAAAACGUAGGGUGCAAGCGUUGUCCGGAAUUACUGGGUGUAAAGGGAGCGCAGGCGGACCGGCAAGUUGGAAGUGAAAACCAUGGGCUCAACCCGUGAAUUGCUUUCAAAACUGCUGGCCUUGAGUAGUGCAGAGGUAGGUGGAAUUCCCGGUGUAGCGGUGGAAUGCGUAGAUAUCGGGAGGAACACCAGUGGCGAAGGCGACCUACUGGGCACCAACUGACGCUGAGGCUCGAAAGCAUGGGUAGCAAACAGGAUUAGAUACCCUGGUAGUCCAUGCCGUAAACGAUGAUUACUAGGUGUUGGAGGAUUGACCCCUUCAGUGCCGCAGUUAACACAAUAAGUAAUCCACCUGGGGAGUACGACCGCAAGGUUGAAACUCAAAGGAAUUGACGGGGGCCCGCACAAGCAGUGGAGUAUGUGGUUUAAUUCGAAGCAACGCGAAGAACCUUACCAGGUCUUGACAUCCGAUGCAUAGUGCAGAGAUGCAUGAAGUCCUUCGGGACAUCGAGACAGGUGGUGCAUGGUUGUCGUCAGCUCGUGUCGUGAGAUGUUGGGUUAAGUCCCGCAACGAGCGCAACCCUUAUUGCCAGUUACUACGCAAGAGGACUCUGGCGAGACUGCCGUUGACAAAACGGAGGAAGGUGGGGAUGACGUCAAAUCAUCAUGCCCUUUAUGACCUGGGCUACACACGUACUACAAUGGCGUUUAACAAAGAGAAGCAAGACCGCGAGGUGGAGCAAAACUCAGAAACAACGUCUCAGUUCAGAUUGCAGGCUGCAACUCGCCUGCAUGAAGUCGGAAUUGCUAGUAAUCGCGGAUCAGCAUGCCGCGGUGAAUACGUUCCCGGGCCUUGCACUCACCGCCCGUCA